rnacentral:rRNA from 1 species
UACAGAGGUCCCAAGCGUUGUUCGGAUUCAUUGGGCGUAAAGGGUGUGUAGGUGGCGCCGUAAGUCGGGUGUGAAAUCUCGGGGCUUAACUCCGAAACUGCAUUCGAUACUGCGGUGCUUGAGGACUGGAGAGGAGACUGGAAUUCAUGGUGUAGCAGUGAAAUGCGUAGAGAUCAUGAGGAAGACCAGUGGCGAAGGCGGGUCUCUGGGCCGAUACUGACGCUGAGGAGCGAAAGCGUGGGGAGCGAACAGG